rnacentral:rRNA from 1 species
CCUACGGGUGGCAGCAGUGAGGAAUAUUGGUCAAUGGGCGAGAGCCUGAACCAGCCAAGUCGCGUGAGGGAAGACGGUCCUGCGGAUUGUAAACCUCUUUUGUCAGGGAGCAAGGAGCGCCACGAGUGGUGCGGCGAGAGUACCUGACGAACAAGCAUCGGCUAACUCCGUUCCAGCCGCCGCGGUACUACGGGGGAUGCGAGCGUUAUCCGGAUUUAUUGGGUUUAACGGGCGCGAGGGCGGUCUGUUAAGUCAGCGGUCAAAGCCCGGGGCUAAACCCGGGCCCGCCGUUGAAACUGGCAGUCUCGAGUUGGAGAGAGGUAGGCGGAAUGCGCGGUGUAGCGGUGAAAUGCAUAGAUAUCGCGCAGAACUCCGAUUGCGAAGGCAGCAUGCCGGCUCCACACUGACGCUGAGGCACGAAAGCGUGGGGAGCGAACAGGAUUAGAUACCCUAGUAGUC